GUCCAUAAUAUACAUAUAUAUAAGGACUAGUUCUCCUUGAAAACCUCACCUUCAAAGCAGCAAAACUCAGAGCCAUCCACUUUCCCUCACACAGUACAGCCACAGAAGGAGAGAACACUUUACUUCUGAACCUUUGAAGAAUUAAGAAGGCAAAUUAAAGCUUGGUUUAUAUUCCACUGCCACUGGAGGAGGCAUCCAAAGGGAUCGCAUUGAUCCCAAAUUUCAGUCUUGAUUAAAUUUCUCUUUCCCUUCUCAAAAUAUUUGGGAUCAUGCUAUCCCUUUGGAUUCCUCCUU